ACUCCUACGGGAGGCAGCAGUGGGGAAUAUUGGACAAUGGGCGCAAGCCUGAUCCAGCCAUGCCGCGUGAGUGAUGAAGGCCCUAGGGUUGUAAAGCUCUUUCACCGGAGAAGAUAAUGACGGUAUCCGGAGAAGAAGCCCCGGCUAACUUCGUGCCAGCAGCCGCGGUAAUACGAAGGGGGCUAGCGUUGUUCGGAAUUACUGGGCGUAAAGCGCACGUAGGCGGAUCGAUCAGUCAGGGGUGAAAUCCCAGGGCUCAACCCUGGAACUGCCUUUGAUACUGUCGAUCUGGAGUAUGGAAGAGGUGAGUGGAAUUCCGAGUGUAGAGGUGAAAUUCGUAGAUAUUCGGAGGAACACCAGUGGCGAAGGCGGCUCACUGGUCCAUUACUGACGCUGAGGUGCGAAAGCGUGGGGAGCAAACAGGAUUAGAUACCCUAGUAGUCCCA
rnacentral:rRNA from 1 species